UACGUAGGGGGCAAGCGUUGUCCGGAUUUAUUGGGCGUAAAGAGCGUGUAGGCGGCCAUGUAGGUCCGUUGUGAAAACUCGAGGCUCAACCUCGAGACGCCGAUGGAAACCAUGUGGCUAGAGUCCGGAAGAGGAGAGUGGAAUUCCUGGUGUAGCGGUGAAAUUCGUAGAUAUUCGCAAGAACACCAGUGGCGAAGGCGGCUCACUGGCCCGGUACUGACGCUGAGGUGCGAAAGCGUGGGGAGCAAACAGG
rnacentral:rRNA from 1 species